GAUGAACGCUGGCGGCGUGCCUAAUACAUGCAAGUCGAACGAAGAUCUAGCUUGCUAGAUCUUAGUGGCGAACGGGUGAGUAAUACAUAAAUAAUCUGCCCAUAUGACUGGGAUAACUAUUGGAAACGAUAGCUAAUACCGGAUAGGUUGAUCGGAGGCAUCUCUGAUGAAUUAAAGUAGGAUUUCUACACAAAUGGAUGAGUGUAUGGCGCAUUAGUUAGUUGGUGGGGUAACGGCCUACCAAGACGAUGAUGCGUAGCCGACCUGUGAGGGUGACCGGCCACACUGGGACUGAGACACGGCCCAGACUCCUACGGGAGGCAGCAGUAGGGAAUUUUCGGCAAUGGGCGCAAGCCUGACCGAGCAACGCCGCGUGAGUGAUUAAGGCCUUCGGGUUGUAAAGCUCUGUUGUAAGGGAAGAACAUUCAGGAUAGGAAAUGAUCUUGAACUGACGGUACCUUACCAGAAAGCCACGGCUAACUACGUGCCAGCCGCCGCGGUAAGAC
rnacentral:rRNA from 1 species